rnacentral:rRNA from 1 species
UACAGAGGUCUCAAGCGUUGUUCGGAAUCACUGGGCGUAAAGGGUGCGUAGGUGGCGUGGUAAGUCAGAUGUGAAAGCCCGGGGUUCAACCUCGGAAUUGCAUCCGAUACUGCCGUGCUAGAGUACUGAAGAGGUGACUAGAAUUCUCGGUGUAGCAGUGAAAUGCGUAGAUAUCGAGAGGAAUACCAACGGCGAAGGCAGGUCACUGGGCAGUUACUGACGCUGAGGCGCGAAAGCGUGGGGAGCGAUCCGG